GCCCGUUUGGCUUAGUGGUACAGCGUCUCACUCGUAAACCGAAUGUGUGUCCGAUAUGAGAAGAUCCUCGGUUCGAUUCCGAGAAUGGGCA
rfam:Pseudogymnoascus sp. 23342-1-I1 unplaced genomic scaffold scaffold_9, whole genome shotgun sequence.